GACGUAGGGCGCGAGCGUUGUCCGGAUUUAUUGGGCGUAAAGGGCUCGUAGGCGGUUUGUCGCGUCGGGAGUGAAAACCAGGUGCUUAACACCUGGCUUGCUUUCGAUACGGGCAGACUAGAGGUAUUCAGGGGAGAACGGAAUUCCUGGUGUAGCGGUGAAAUGACGCAGAUAUCAGGAGGAACACCGAUGGCGAAGGCAGGUCUCUGGGCAUUAACUGACGCUGAGGAGCGAAAGCAUGGGGGAGCGAACAGG
rnacentral:rRNA from 1 species